CCUGGAAACAUAUGUGUGUCCAUGGCAUGUGACCCACCAACCACCAUGUGCAAACCUCUGUCCUGGGUUGUAGACCUGGUAUAUGAAUCCAGGACCCAGAGAAGCCAUAUUCUUCAUACCUGUUCCGAAUGCCAUCUUUUUGCAAAUCCUAAAAUGGUGUCUUCAAGGAGGUUCAUGGAAAAGACUACAAGUAUUUUAAGUACACAUUUCUGACAACUUUGAGAACAUACAGAUGCACUAGGCUUUGACUAGAAAGACAUGUUUUAAGAUGUGAUCAUACUGCUUUGAAAGACUGGGACUGACUUUAUAACGCCAACAGACUUGGAAAAAGGCUGGCCAGGUACCUUGCCUACACAGCUCCCUUACAAAAUUCCUGACCUUGUUGUGAUAAGA